rnacentral:lncRNA from 1 species
AACACUAGAGACGUAGGACCCCAGCCGCAAUACACAAUAGUCCCCUCAGCUGCUGAACUUCAUUUUCUUCACACCUUGAGCAACGAACAAACAAAAAAAAAUAGACCCCAUCAACGACCAAGAUCUUUUAACCCACAAUACAAAUCAGCCGUGAACACACACACAGAAUGCCCUCUCCUGAACUUCUUCUUCAAAGAAAUUUUCUCUUUAAAUUUCUAUUAAAACUCAACUGUCAAUAUUACCCCACCAUAUUUUAAAACCUAAAGAGAAACCCUCUCCUUCAUACAACAUAAAACACUAGAGAUGUAGGACCCCAGCAGCAAUACACAAUAGUCCCCUUAGCUCUUGAGCUUCAUUUUCUCCACACGUUGAGCAACGAACAAACACAAAAAAAUAGACCCCAUCGACGACCAAGACCUUUUAACCCACAAUAUAAAUUAGCCGUGAACACACACAGAGAAUGUCCUCCCCUGAACUUCUUCUUCAAAGAAAUUUUCUCUUUAAAUUUCCAUUAAAACUCAAGUGUCAACAUUAAACCACAAGGAAACUCAAAAAUCGGCCAAGAACUCUAGCUUUGAAAUGCAACGAAACAGUCCUAAAAAGAAGCAGAAUUAGCUGUAAAACUCGACUGAAAUCGAUCCCAAAAUCAGAUCUAAACAACUACCAAAUUUGUCACCGUCGAGAUUUGGGUUUUUCUGUCGAGUUUAGAAAGCCGUGUUCGAGUUCCCAUUGCCGUCGAUGCUUCUUUUUUCUUGCGGUCUCUAAGGCUCCUCUUUUCUACUUUGAAGGUUCAUCCUUAACUUUAUCUCUUAGCUUGAAUAGUUUCAGUUUUGACUAUAUUUCGGAUCUUAUUUUUGUUAAUAUUUGUAGCUAUUUUGUUAUUCAUGAUUCAUUAGUUAAAUUAGUACAUGUGUUAGAAUAGUUUUGUCUAAUGUAAUCCUAAGUUUAUGAAUGUUAAUUUGAAAUGAAAUACAUGCUGUUGAUUAUUGAAAUAUGGACAAUUCUCACAUUUUUAUUUGGCCUCGUAUUCGAAUUUAAUAAUUCACUCCAUAGUUUAGCUUGUGCUUAUUUAUUUCAAUUAUAAUGUAAGUAUAGUGAAGUAUGUUCUCUUUUCUGUUAGGCUAAAUUUCGGCAAAACUAUGUGGAUAUGGCUUGUUUAGGCAGGGACAUUGUUGAUGCAGUAGUUCCAAUUCUUGUGACAUUUGGAGAAGAGCAGCGUCUCUGGUUUCGGGUUUACGGAUGUUUCCAUUUUUCUUCUCCAAUGUUGAAUUCUGCUUCUGUAAUGCUAACUCUGAUUCAUACACAUCCAUCCAAACUAUCCGAGAUUAUCGUUUUGUUCACCCAUUUUGCAUAGAGUUCAUUAAUCUCAAAAUGUUAGGAAAAUAUUUAACAUCUUAGCUUGUUGUAGGCAUGAUUUAAUAUAUUGUCGUGAUUGUGUACACGUCCUCGUGACAUAAUUAAGAUUUUAAAAAUAAAAUCAAAGUAUGCAUUUUAGAAACUUCGACUAAACUUUCUUUAUAAUAACA